AAUAAGUACAGUCUUACAUUAUUCACGUUCAACGUUUGACUGUUUGUCUCAUUUGAAAAUUUUUUAUUGUUAGUAUUUUUAUUGCUAUUAGAUGAUAAAACAUGAAUAGUACUUUAUAUGUAACUAAAUAUUUUUAAAUAAGACGGACGGUCAAACGUUGAGCAUGAAUAUUCACGGCUGCACUUAUU
rfam:Oryza sativa (indica cultivar-group) chromosome 2, whole genome shotgun sequence.